AUCAUCAUAACAGAGUCUAUUGAAAGUCCUCAGCAGGCGGUGUGACGAUGUGACCGGCUCUGGCCAAGGAGCUGUAGGCAGAAGUGUCUUGCAGCAGCUCCUGUAAAUCUUAAAAGAUGCUGGUGCAUGUCUUUUUUCCUUUUUUUUUCCCUUCCGCCUUCCUGCUGCACUGAAUAUGGAUAUGGUGAGUGAAUCUAGAGCAGCCAUUUGGAGGUAUGAAGAGAUCUUGGAAAUAGAGGCCAUGUGUAUUGAAACAAGACCAAACAACUCCAAGUUCCUGAAGACUUCAUUUCACCAACCCAGAACCUCCUUGAUCAUCACAGUGGUCGAACCAUUUUACGUUUUCACCAGCAAUGAAGGAGGGUUCCUGUUGCUCUACUAUUUGGUACUGUCAGUGUUUUGGAUAUUAGCCAUCUUAAUAGCCUUCGCAUGGAUGAUUGUCUGUCCUCUGUUGGGCCCCUUCUGAAGAGUUGGAGUUGGACUCUGAAUACCUCAAGAAUGGGAGAUUGGUCUUGCCAAUCAGAGAAGCUCCAGGGCUAGCCUAGUGCCUGGCACAUGCUUUAUACAAUUAUUCCCAAAUCUUCUAAACUGACAGUGAGGGAGAGUAAUUUGAAAGGACUGAUCAACUCAACAUCAUUUGAAGAUUUGCGCCAUAGCUGCAUUUUUCCAAUUUCCUGGCAUCUAUUCUGCUCUCCUGGACUUUUCAAAAACAAUUGUAAGUGGAUGAAUAAAUUUAAUAACUCA
rnacentral:lncRNA from 1 species